UUUAUAUGAUGAAAUCAAACUAACUCACCGUUAAUGACACAGUGAAAACGUGAAUGCCUGAGAAGA
rnacentral:snoRNA from 1 species